UUUAAAUCUUAAUGUUAAUAUUUCCUGUGUCAAAACCAUGAUAUGUCAACACUGUCAUCCAGUUUCUGAAGAAAUUGUUUAGAAUUUUUAGAUUAUUUUACUGUCCUGAAGUGGAUUAUGUCAGCAUCUAGCAUCAAGCUACAAACACAAUGGCUGCUACAUAAACUCCAUUUGUUUUGUGAAUAAAAUGGCUAUUAUGUCAACUUCGUCAGAUUUUUUGUCUGAGAGAGGUGACAGGUGAAUGACAGAGUUGACAUUCAAUGGGAAGGCCUCUUGUUUUUGUGUUUAGUCAAGUACAUAAAUAGAUUAUAGGUUUAUUGAGUAAUAUAUAAGUACUAGAAAUGUGGCAUCAGCAUUUUCAGCUUUUUUAUUGCUUUUGAGAAUUUAUAUUUUUCAGCUAUCAGGGUUUAAAUGAAGAAACACAGGGCUCAUGGAACAUACUGGUAAGUGUACAUAGUGUGUCUAUGUCUAGUCUCCCUCUCUCAGGGCUUAAAGUAUUCCGGCACCGUGCCGUAUCUCCGGCGUGUGAUAAACAUAAAAAAAAAAACCUGUUGAUGCGGGAUAUUGUGGUUGUGACCAUGGAUGUACUCCGAAGGUUGUGACAGACAUAACAAUAGUAAACCACGGGAGGCCAGCAGCAGUUGAUGCUGCGUUCCAGACAACUCACAACUCACCCCCCAGACAGUCCAAAACUGCUUUUGUAAUUCUGCACGUAUGACCACUGACAAGCAAGAUACAAUUACAAGAAGAAGAAUAAACAUCAAAGAAUGGUCCUCUCAGACACAAUGAUCAAAGGUUACCAAGCAACACACAGACGUUACUGUGAGUUAUUCUCACAUCUUUCUGCUCUCUUCGGCCCUUUGAUGUCACAGCACCCAAGCAAUCUGAUCGAAAGACCUGUCAGUGCCAAUUCCAUGAAAAUGCAAAGCUGAUGCUUGAGGUCUUGAGAGAACAUGGCGUUACUGAGAGUAGCAGGUAUGAGGAUAGUUUUGAGCUUGUUUGUUGCUCUGCUCCCAGUGAAGCAUGUCUUCUGUGUUUGUACUCGAUGCCUUCACAAAAGCACAUCUGUUUCAGUGCAGCAAAAUCUGAUUCAUAUUGAGUGGUGAGGUGGAAAUUCAAUUCAGCCCAUUCAUGUGAGAUGCAAGAAUUAAAAAGUCAGUCAGUCAGUCUUUUCACCCGUGUGUAGCUCUGCGCAGAGCAAGCCUCUCAGCUUGACAGCAUGAAAAGGUCUCCCUUCUUAGGGCUGCACCCUUAUUUAUUGAAGAAGCAAAACAGGAGGUACAAAGUAGAUAACAGCUAGUCAUGCUAACGAGCAUCAUGACCUUGUAUUCAUAGGAGAUGCCUGGAGCCAGUCUCCACCGGGUUCAGCCUCUCCUCCCUCAAUAACAGAGACAUUGUAACCACAGGUUGACUGUUAGUCUUUAUUGUGUGGGAAAAUUAACAGGUGCUGAGAGCAACCCUGGAACAGAUAUACAUUUUGCACACACAGUAGUUCAUAAGCAUGAGGUUACAUAUAGUGUAUUAUAGUGUAUUAAAAUUUUACAUUACAGUGGCAACAGUGGGAACAAGUGAAGGACCAAGUGGCAGGUGAAUCUUACCAUAACACUAAACUUGUGAAACACACUGGAACCCUAGCAGAACUCAUACGGCUGUAUUCAAUUCAAUUAGUUAGUAACAUGCAUUAAUGGAACAUGAAUGAGUGCAGAAAGAGAGAGGAAGAGAGGAGCUCAGUGCACCAUGGGAAAUCCCCCGAUAGGAUCUGAUAAAUAUGACUUAAACCAGCUUAGUGCGGUUCCUUUAAUGCCAAUUUGAUGCUCAAGUCUCUGUAAAGGAAUAUCAUGGUCAAUGGUGUCAAAUGCAGCACUAAGAUCUAAUAAUACAAGUACAGAGACAAGUCCAUUGUCAGAAGCAGUCAGAAGGUCAUUAUUAACAUUAACCAGAGCUGUGUCUGUGCUGUGAUGAACUCUAAAUCCUGACUGAAAAUCCUCAAAUAAACUAUUGUUAUGUAGAAAGUCACACAACUCUUUGGCGACUACCUUCUCCAGAAUCUUAGAGAGGAAGGGGAGGUUAGAGAUUGUUCUAUAGUUAGUUAAAACCCCUGGGUCAAGAGUGGACUUUUUAAGAAGGGGUUUAAUUACAGCUACUUUAAAGGACUGUGGUACAUAUCCUGAUAAUAAAUAAAGAUUAAUCAUAUCCAGUAAAGAAGUGCCAAUUAAGGCAACAACUUCUUUAAGCAGCCUAGUUGGGAUCGGGUCUAAUAGACAGGUUGAUGGCUUCGAUGAAGAAAUUAUUGAAGUUAACUGAUGAAGAUCGAUAGCAGAAAAACAGUCUAAAUAUAUAUCUAAGUUUACAUUAGCAAAAGUCCCUGAACUUGGAGAGCCACUGAUAACUGUUGAUGGCAGUUGGUGAUUAAUUUUUUCUCUAAUAGUAAUAAUUUUAUUAUAGAAGAAGCUCAUGAAGUCAUUGCUACUUAAGUUUAUGGGGAUAUGUGGCUCAAUAGAGCUGUGACUCUCUGUCAGCCUGGCUACAGUGCUGAAGAUGAACCUAGGGUUAUUCUUAUUUUCUUCUAUUAGUGCUGAGUAAUAGGCUCCUCUGGCAUUACGGAGGGCCUUUCUAUAAGUUUUAAGAUUAUCUUGCCAAAUUGAGCGAUAUUCUGAUAAUUUGGAAGAGCGCCAUUUCCUUUCAGAUUUCCUAGCUAUUUGUUUUAACUGGCGGGUUUGGUGGUUAUACCAAGGUGCUAGUCUCCUAUUUUUUAAUAAUUUCCUUUUUAUAGGAGCGAUAGAGUCUAAUGUUGAUCGAAGUGAGCCUGCAGCACUAUUGACAAGAUUAUCAAUUUCAGAGGGACUAAAGUUAUUAUAGGACUGUUAAAUUCAGACAUGGCAUUAAAUUAAACACUGAAGGAAUCUCCUCCUUAAAUUUAGCUACAGCACUGUCAGAUAGACUGUAGGGAAGUUAAGCUUAAUGGCUUAUAAUCUAAUAAUAUGAAUUCAAAAGUUAUUAAAUAAUGGUCAGAUAGCAAAGGAUUAUGUGGGAAGACUAUUAAAUGUUCAAUAUCAAUGCCAUAUGAUAGAACAAGUCAAGAGUGUGAUUAAAACAAUGAGUUGGUCUAUUUACACUCUGACAGAAGCCAAUUGAGUCUAUUAUUGAGAUAAAUGCAUUACUUUGCACUAAGGCUGUCACUGUUAACAUCCACAUGAAUAUUAAAAUCACCUACAAUAAUUACUUUAUCUGAUUUAAGGACUAAACUUGAUAAAAACUCUGAGAAUUCAGAUAUAAAAUCAGAGUACGGUCCAGGAGCGCGGUACACUAUAACAAAUAGAACUGGCUGCAGUGUUUUCCAGUUUGGGUGAGAAAGACUAAGAACAAGGCUUUCAAAUGAAUUAUAAUUUAGUUUAGGUUUAGGGUCCAUUAAAACGCUCGAAUCAUAUAUGGCUGCCACUCCACCUCCUCGGCCUGUGCCUCGAGGAAUGUAAGUAUUAAUAUGACUGGGGGGGGUGGAUUCAUUUAGGCUAACAUACUCCUCGUGGGACAACCAGGUCUCAGUAAGACAAAGUAAAUCAAUAUCAUAGUCUGAUAUUAAUUCAUUCACUAAAACAGCUUUAGAGGACAGAGACCUGAUAUUUAACAGCCCACAUUUCAUUCUCUUAUUUUGUGCUACUGAGGAGUUAGUUUUAAUUUUUAUUAGAUUUUUAUGUUGAACUCCUCUUGUUUUUAUUUCUUUAAAUAAUUUAGGUGGUCGGGGGACAGUCACAGUCUCUAUGGGGUUUUGGGUGGGUGACUGUACUAAUGGAAGAGCAGAGAAAUGUGUAAGACAGCAGCUCUGCUUCCUGGUCCUAACUCUGGACUGUCAGGUUUUAGAAAUAAACUUCGCCAUAUUCCUAGAUAAGAGAGCCGCUCCAUCCAAAGUGGGAUGGAUGCCGUCUCUCCUAAUCAGACCAGGUUUUCCCCAAAAAGGCUUCCAGUUAUCAAUGAAGUCCACAUCGUUUGCUGGACACCACCUCGACAGCCAGCGGUGGAAUGACGACAUGCGGCUAUACAUGUCAUCACUGGUCACAUUGGGGAGGGGUCCAGAGAAAACUACGGAGUCCGACAUUGUCUUAGCAUAAUUACACACCGACUCCACAUUAAUCUUAGUGACCUCCAAUUGGUAAACGGGUGUCAUUACCGCCGACGUGGAUAACAAUCUUACUGUAUUUACGUUUAUCUUUAGCCAGCAGUUUUAAAUUUGAUUCAAUGUCGCCCGCUCUGGCCCCAGGGAUACAUUUAACUAUGGCCGCUGGCUUCGCUAACUUCACGUUUCUGACUAUGGAGCUGCCAAUAACCAGAGUUGGUUCCUCAGCGGGUGUAUCGCUGAGUGGGGAAAAUGUAUUAGAAACGUGAAUGGGUUGGUGGUGAACUGUGGGCUUCGGCAUUUUAUUCUUCCUUCGCUCAGUCACCCACUCUCCCUGUCUGCCCGGCUGCUCGGGAUCUAUCAGGGGAACUACCGGGAAACUACCGGGGGAUGGCUAGCAGAAGCUACCUUCGGUCGGCCCACACCGGCUACUGGGGGCUGGCUAACAAUAGCGGCCACUUAAUACAUGUACCAUUAUCAUUAAAGGAGGCAGAGGAAUAACUGAACAUCUGGCACACUGAGCAGGACAGAGGAGAGGGAGAAGCCAUAGCUAACUGCUUAUGUUACUGAAGCUAGCAUAUAUGAAAAACUUUGAAAAUAGCGAAAAGUCGCUAAAAGGAGUAGUUUCGAGUGUUUUAGAUAGAACGAGUCUACGUUUAAACGUUAAGGGGAAAAUAACCGCUGUAACAAGUAAAACAAAUUUAGAUUUAGCAUUCACUGGACAGAGCUACAGCACCAAACAGUGUACACAGAGCAGGAAGUAAACCGGAAAUGAGUCAGUAUGCUUACCGUAGCAUGUCCACAACCCAGAACACACUGACAUACAUGUGAAUAUUUCAAGACCGGGUGGUUGGCAAAAGUCAUCGGUGUAGAUUCAGAACACCAAGAUGUUAAGGUGGAAUUCUUCCAUCCUCAUGGGCCAAGUACACAGUUUCAUCCGAAACAAGGAGCUAAGGAUGUGUGCUUCAUUCCAUUUCAAAACAUCGUGGUACAGCUGACUGAGCCAUCAACUCCAAGUGGUGUAAGCAGCACGAGAGAUAUAUUUCACCUCUCACCUGAGGUGAUGGACGAAACAGACUUGUUAAGCCAAUGUGAAUAAAAUGUUUAUAAACAACA